rnacentral:rRNA from 1 species
AUUGAACGCUGGCGGCAUGCCUUACACAUGCAAGUCGAACGGCAGCACGGACUUCGGUCUGGUGGCGAGUGGCGAACGGGUGAGUAAUGUAUCGGAACGUACCUUUCAGUGGGGGAUAACGUAGCGAAAGUUACGCUAAUACCGCAUAUUCUGUGAGCAGGAAAGCAGGGGAUCGCAAGACCUUGCGCUGAUUGAGCGGCCGAUAUCAGAUUAGCUAGUUGGUGAGGUAAAGGCUCACCAAGGCGACGAUCUGUAGCGGGUCUGAGAGGAUGAUCCGCCACACUGGAACUGAGGCACGGGCCAGACUCCUACGGGAGGCAGCAGUGGGGAAUUUUGGACAAUGGGGGCAACCCUGAUCCAGCCAUGCCGCGUGAGUGAAGAAGGCCUUCGGGUUGUAAAGCUCUUUCGGCCGGGAAGAAAUCGCAUAGGUUAAUACCCUGUGUGGAUGACGGUACCGGAAUAAGAAGCACCGGCUAACUACGUGCCAGCCGCCGCUGUAAAAC